GUGGGGAAUCUUCCGCAAUGGACGAAAGUCUGACGGAGCAACGCCGCGUGAGUGAAGAAGGUUUUCGGAUCGUAAAGCUCUUUCGUUAGGGACGAACGUGCUCUUUGUGAAUAAUGAGGAGUAAUGACGGUACCUAAAUAAGAAGCCACGGCUAACUACGUGCCAGCAGCCGCGGUAAUACGUAGGUGGCAAGCGUUGUCCGGCAUUAUUGGGCGUAAAGCGCGCGCAGGCGGGAUAUCAAGUCUGUCUUAAAAGUGCGAGGCUCAACCUCGUGAGGGGACAGAAACUGGUAUUCUUGAGUGUCGGAGAGGAAAGUGGAAUUCCAAGUGUAGCGGUGAAAUGCGUAGAGAUUUGGAAGAACACCAGUGGCGAAGGCGACUUUCUGGACGAUGUCUGACGCUGAGGCGCGAAAGCUAGGGGAGCGAACGGGAUUAGAAACCCGGGUAGUCC
rnacentral:rRNA from 1 species